AUUGUGAUGUGAGCAAAAAGCCAGUUCAUGUUGAAGUAGGGCCUCUCCCUAAAGAAGAGUGGGGCCCAGGUGAUCAAGGAGUAGGAAACUCAAUUUGCUCUUCUAUGGAUGGAAUCUGAAAUGUUAAUCACCACUUGCCUAGAAUUCCAGAGGCGAUUUUAUUACCCUAAAUGUCCUGGAAACCCUGUUGCCUCUGGCGCGAGAAGACUCCAGCCUCCGUCAUCCUGGACAGCAGUCUGCAGCUAGCCUUGGCGUCCUUCUGCAAGUGGCUGUAACGCCCUGUAAUCUAUACUGUGUAAGACUCUUAGUCCAUUGAGACCAGUCCUUCAUUGAAAGAGCACUCGAUGCCCAAAUCUCCAAAUCAUGUUAUAACGUGAGGACUGGGGGCUGAGCAUCUAAAACAAUGGCUGAAGGGC